AGAAUCAACGCUGGCGGCGUGCCUAACACAUGCAAGUCGCACGAGAAAGUGGAGCAAUCCACGAGUAAAGUGGCGCACGGGUGAGUAACACGUGAAUAAUCUACCUCCGAGUGGGGAAUAACUGAGAGAAAUCUUAGCUAAUACCGCAUAAUACCCACGGGUCAAAGCAGCAAUGCGCUUGGAGAGGAGUUCGCGGCCGAUUAGCUAGUUGGCGGGGUAAUGGCCCACCAAGGCGAUGAUCGGUAUCCGGCCUGAGAGGGCGCGACGGACGACGACUGGAACUGAAACACGGUCCAGACUCCUACGGGAGGCAGCAGUGGGGAAUUUUGCGCAAUGGGGGAAACCCUGACGCAGCAACGCCGCGUGGAGGAUGAAAUCCCUUGGGAUGUAAACUCCUUUCGAUAGGGAAGAUAAUGACGGUACCUAUAGAAGAAGCCCCGGCUAACUUCGUGCCAGCAGCCGC
rnacentral:rRNA from 1 species